UCGGGAAUUUUGGGCAAUGGGCGAAAGCCUGACCCAGCAACGCCGCGUGAAGGAUGAAGUAUUUCGGUAUGUAAACUUCGAAAGAAUAGGAAGAAUAAAUGACGGUACUAUUUAUAAGGUCCGGCUAACUACGUGCCAGCAGCCGCGGUAAUACGUAGGGACCAAGCGUUGUUCGGAUUUACUGGGCGUAAAGGGCGCGUAGGCGGCAAUUCAAGUCAUCUGUGAAAUCUCCGGGCUUAACUCGGAACGGUCAGAUGAUACUGCUUUGCUAGAGUGCAGAAGGGGCAAUCGGAAUUCUUGGUGUAGCGGUGAAAUGCGUAGAUAUCAAGAGGAACACCUGAGGCGAAGGCGGGUUGCUGGGCUGAUACUGACGCUGAGGCGCGAA
rnacentral:rRNA from 1 species